UCGGUGUUGUCGCGAGAAAACGCGGCCUCCUUCCCCUCUCGAAAAAAAAGAAAACCCAUCGAAACUUACACUUCCGGUUUCCUAGCCUCCGCAAGAACUUGCAAAACUUUUUGUACACAGUGUUCGCCUCUUUGCUGCUCAACUCCAUCGCGCUGUUCACCCGCUGUUCAUUCUUCUGCUGACCCGGCGGACAAAGUUUCGGGUAACGCCACUGCUGGCACGGUUCGGACCAGUCCAGAGCGGUGGCGGGCGCCAUGACGGUUAUUCGGCUCCAGGAACUCGGGAAACGCGGCUACCGACGCGGCUCAUCGACGGCGAUUCAGCGCCGCGGCGCACCACGUUUCUCGCCGCCGAGAGAGUUCGAUCAACGGCGGUCCUUUAACGCACCGCCGUAGCGAACGAUACACCCGGAAAGCGAUCGCCGAGUUUCUGGAAUUCUUUCCGAGCUUCUAGUUCUUCGAAGAAAACGGAUCGCCGGGCCCACAGCUCGGAGACGCCGUUCACACAGGGGGGCCCCGCAAGGCCCAAUGCGACUAUCGAGAACGGAUUACGUGCCGGUGUGGAGAAUCGGGGCCGUAAAGGGUGCCAUUGUUCGUCCCCCGGCGCGAGAGAGAUACCGAGAGCGCCGGCGAUAGAGCACGGCCUCCAGGCCUAACCUCUUCGAAGCCGCGGGGGGGACAGGAACGAGAGCAAAAUCAAUGUUUAUCCUUCGAAGCCGUGCAGCCUCGAAUUCGUCGCGCCGAGCGAAGGCAGCUUUUCUCGCACUCUCGAUGUUUCACUGUCCCCGAUCGGUUUGCACCAAAUCCACGGGAUUCGAAGCGCGGAAUUCCGAUGGUCAACGAUACGACGAUCCCGCGGAUUAAACUGUGUGUUUGCCGCGACGCUUUAUACGCUCUGAAGUCACGCGACACCGAGCCAGCGGAGACCCCGAUUGUCGCCGGCGUUUGCUUCUGCCCGUUGUGUGAACGCGCCGCGAUCGCUGCUCUCCACGCAGCUCUCUCUCUCUCUACGUGCACGGAGACGUUCUCGUUCCGCGGCGGCUCGGCACGCGACUAAACCGAACGCGCCGCCAAUCGCCAUUGCUCGCGGGAGAAGCAGCUUCCGAGUGGGAGGGGGGCGGGCGGCCGGCCGGCCGCCGCGGGAGGGGGCAACGUGUCGCGGAUGUUAGCCGCGAAAGCGAACGUCGCGAUAUUUUCAGUCUCCUUUCGUUCCGUCACUUUGAGUCCUUCUCUUUUUUUUCCGAGUCCUUGCGCGAUCUGUUGCGACGAAGACAGAGAACACGCGAACGCGAGAUACGUCGAGUUUCGAUUAUGCAGAGUAUUUUUGUGGUAUUAUUAGCUGUGUGGACGCGGAUUCGACGCGAAAAAGUUGCGUUCGUCGAUAGGUUAAGCGACAUUGAACUUGGAACGUAACUUUCAUGGAAUCGUUCUUAAACCCAUCUGGAAUUACGGUGUUCGACUGUGCGGCGCUGCUGGUCUUUCGAGAGACGAAUUUUUAUGAAUAUUCUGCGAACUGGUUCGUUUUUAAUAAAUCGGCUCGUUCGCGCUUGGAAGUAAGCUGAUAUUAUAUGUUAUAUCAUAUAUAUCUUUUAUAUACAUAUUGUUAUAUAUAUAUUAGUAAGUAAAGUAGAAAUUACUGAUAACAGUAAAUAAUUAUUAUUCAGAAUGUACUUUCGUCAGGGUUCAAUAACAAUUCCCUCGGUGCAAUUGAUCUUUCGGUGGCUUCAAUCUAACCUCAAACGUAAACGUCUCGCAUACCGAGCAUGACGUUCAACCGUAAUCGCGAGAGCGAAACUGUUACAUACAUUUUAUUGUGCCGACGCGUAUGUUACAUCCGCGGUUAUCGAAGUGUCCGCGGAAUCAUCUACAACAACAGAACUCGCGCAUUUUAUCGGUUAAGAAAUAACAUUCAAGUGAUCGUCGACGCUUAUACAGAAUUCCGUUUUCGUGCAAUAUCGAAUUUCUCCGCAAAGUGAAAAGAAGAAGAACGCGCGGAAAAUUUGUGUAACCUAAAAAAAAAACGCACCUGUUGCAACAUCGAAAUUGAAGUACGCCGCGAAGUGCGUCGGAUUCGUUCGACGGUGAUUCGCGCACGCUCGCGCGGCGAUUCCGUUAAUUAACGGGCGUCGUUCGACGGUCGACUGUGAUCGAGCAAGCGAACGGCGAAAGAUUCUCGCCGCCGGUAGGAAGGAAAGAAGAAACCGGACGCAUUUCAUUUGCACGCGGCAACAAACUCUCUCUCUCUCUCGCUUCGCGCGAGACCGCGCGACGCGCGAGGAUUAUUCGCGAUAAUGUCUAUUUAUAGUAGACUCGAAGUCGUCAAUGACGGACAUUACGUCGAAUUAAGUAGAAUGUGGUGCCAGUUCUGUAAAGAAUUUCGCGGUGAUCGCGCGCGCGCGCUGUUGUUCGCGCGAAAAUAGUGAUUCGCUUGGAACUGUCGUCCGUUGUUCGGCGAGCUGGCGCAAUAAAAAAAUAGGAGCGUCGACCUACACCCUACUGGUUGCAGAAGCGUGAUUAACCGAACCGGACGGCGGACCUUCGUGACGAAAAUAUUGCUGGCAUCUCUAUAAGUGCGCAUUUUCGCGACAAAGCGGCGCCGACCAACAGGCACGUAACGUCCGGAACGAAGUGCAAAGGGGUUACACUACAUGCAUCACAGAGCUUCAACCCGCUCUUUCGUUCGAAAAGCGAUCUCCCCACUGCUGACUUCCCCCCAGCGAGCAGAAGUUGAGCACCGCUGGCGUGGAAGAAGACGGCCGUAUUGUCCGUGUCGGCCGGCCCCCGCCGACAGGCCAUUGACAACAGUUAAAUAGUGUGUGCCAUAUUCCCGUUGCAAAAUCAAUACUAGUCGCAGAUUUGUUAAAUUCAA